CCUACGGGAGGCAGCAGGCGCGAAACCUUUGCAAUAAGCGAAAGCUUGACAGGGCUAUCCCGAGUGCCAUCCGCUGAGGAAGGCUUUUACCCAGUCUAGAAAGCUGGGGGAAUAAGGAGAGGGCAAGUCUGGUGUCAGCCGCCGCGGUAAUACCAGCUCUUCGAGUGGUGUGGAUGUUUAUUGGGCCUAAAGCAUCCGUAGCUGGCUAGGUCAGUCCCUUGUUAAAUCCACCGAAUUAAUCGUUGGAUCGCGGGGGAUACUGCUUGGCUAGGGGACGAGAGAGGCAGACGGUAUUUUCGGGGUAGGGGUGAAAUCCUAUAAUCCCGGGAAGACCACCAGUGGCGAAGGCUGUCUGCUAGAACGCGCCCGACGGUGAGGGAUGAAAGCUGGGGGAGCGAACCGGAUUAGAUACCCGAGUAGUCC
rnacentral:rRNA from 1 species